rnacentral:rRNA from 1 species
AACCUGGUUGAUCCUGCCAGUAGUCAUAUGCUUAGCUCAAAGAUUAAGCCAUGCAUGUCUAAGUAUAAACACGUUUGUACUGUGAAACUGCAGAUGGCUCAUUACAACAGUUACAGUUUAUUUGACAAUUGAGCAUUACCGGAUACCCGUAGUAACUCUAGGGCUAAUACGUGACAAAACCUCUCUCGAGGCGUGCAUAUUAGCUUAAAACCAAUUCUGGUUGCAACCAUAAUAUUCUGUCGGAUCGCGUUGACCUCGUCAGCGACAUGUCAUUCAAGUUUCUGACCUAUCAGCUCGUGACGGUAGACUAUUGGCCUACCGUGGCUUUGACGGGUAACGGGGAAUCAGGGUUCGAUUCCGGAGAGGCAGCCUGAGAAACGGCUACCACAUCCACGGAAGGCAGCAGGUGCGCAAAUUACCCAAUCCUGACACAGGGAAGUAGUGACAAGCAAUAACGAUGAUCAGCUUACAGUUGAAAUUCGGAAUGAGAACAAUGUAAAAGCCUUAUCGACCACCAAGUGGAGGGCAAGCCUGGUGCCAGCAGCCGCGUAAUACCAGCUCCACUAGCGUAUACUAAAGUUGCUGCUGUUAAAACGCUCGUAGUUGGAUAUCAGUCCGGGAGGGGCACGGGCUCCGCCGCGCGUAUGCCGCUCAGUCUCGAUCCCUGGCUCCCGCCCGGCCCCCCUGACUUAAUUCAGAGCUGCCCAUCUGCUCGGUCAAACGGGUCGGGCGGGCGUGUUCUGAUCUAUUACUUUGAGAAAAUUAAAGUGCUCAAAGCAGGCAGGCGCCUGAAUGCAUUAGCAUGGAAUAAUAAAACACGACUUUGGCAGUUAGUUUUGUUGGUUUUUGGGCCGGAGUAAUGAUUGAUAGAAACAAUUGGGGGUGCUAGUAUCGCCAGGCCAGAGGUAAAAUCCUUUGAUUCUGGUGAGACUACCUUAUGCGAAAGCAUUCACCAAGCGUGUUUUCUUUAAUCAAGAACUAGAGCCGGGGGAUCGAAGACGAUCAGAUACCGUCGUAGUCCCAGCCAUAAACGAUGUCGACUAAGCAUUGGGCAAUCAGACUUCCUCAGCGCUUUGUGAGAAAUCAAAGUUUUCGGACUCAGGGGGAGUAUGCUCGCAAGAGUGAAAUUUAAAGGAAUUGACGGAAGGGCACCACCAGUUGUGGACUGGGCGGCUCAAUUUGACUCAACACGGGAAAACUUACCAGGUCCAGACAUAGUCAGGAUUGACAGAUUGAAGUUCUUUCAUGAUUCUAUGAAUAGUGGUGCAUGGCCGUUCUUAGUUGGUGGAGUGAUUUGUCUGGUUAAUUCCGAUAACGAACGAGACCUCAGCCGUCUAACUAGCUGUCGCUAGCGAUGUACUGCUAGCGCUUGUUCGCAAGAUCAGCUUCUUAGAGGGACAAUCUGUGCUCAGCAGAUGGAAGCUUGAGGCUAUAACAGGUCAGUGAUGCCCUUAGAAGGUCUGGGCUGCACGCGCGCUACAAUGACCCAGUCAGCGGGCCGACCCGAGCCUGAGAAGGCGAGGUAAUCCCCAAACUGGGUCCAAGUUGGGAUAGAUGAUUGCAAUUAUUCAUCUUGAACAAGGAAUAUCUAGUAAACGCAAGUCAUCAACUUGCAUUGAUUACGUCCCUGCCCUUUGUACACACCGCCCGUCGCUCCUACCGAUUGAAUAAUCAGAUGAACUGAGUGGAUGGGCGUAGUCCUUUACGCCCCCAAAGCUCCGUGAAUCUUAUUAUUUAGAGGAAGGAAAAGUCGUAACAAGGUUACCGUAGGUGAACCUGCAGAAGGAUCAA